rnacentral:lncRNA from 1 species
AAAGAAAAAAAAAAAGAAAAAAAAAAGGAAACACAUACAAAAGUAGAAGAAUUAUGUGGUAUUUAACUUUCUCAAAUUAAAACAUUAAAUCCUUUCAUAAAUUUGUGCUAAUUGAUGAUGAUUGUUAGUUUAAAAAAAAAUUUGUUCUGUUGCAUUAAGUAAAUUUUUUUCUUUGUAUUUUUGUGUUAGAUUAUAUGAAGGCUCUAAUGUAAGUUUUGCAUAGGGCCCUCA